ACGGAGGUUGCGAGCGUUGUUCGGAAUUAUUGGGCGUAAAGCGCGUGUAGGCGGUUUUGUAAGUCUGAUGUGAAAGGCCCGGGCUCAACCUGGGUAGGGCAUUGGAAACUGUCAGACUUGAAUACGGGAGAGGGUAGUGGAAUUCCUAGUGUAGGGGUGAAAUCCGUAGAUAUUAGGAGGAACACCGGUGGCGAAGGCGGCUACCCGAACCGAUAUUGACGCUGAGCCGCGAAAGUGUGGGGAGCAAACAG
rnacentral:rRNA from 1 species